CCUACGGGGGGCAGCAGUGGGGGAUAUUGCACAAUGGGGGAAACCCUGAUGCAGCAACGCCGCGUGAGUGAAGAAGUAUUUCGGUAUGUAAAGCUCUAUCAGCAGGGAAGAGAAUGACGGUACCUGACUAAGAAGCCCCGGCUAACUACGUGCCAGCAGCCGCGGUAAUACGUAGGGGGCGAGCGUUAUCCGGAUUUACUGGGUGUAAAGGGAGCGUAGACGGCUGGUCAAGUCUGAAGUGAAAGCCCGGGGCUUAACCCCGGAACGGCUUUGGAAACUGAGUAGCUGGAGUGCUGGAGAGGUAAGCGGAAUGCCUAGUGUAGCGGUGAAAUGCGUAGAUAUUAGGCAGAACCCCAGUGGCGAAGGCGGCUUACUGGACAGUAACUGACGUUGAGGCUCGAAAGCGUGGGGAGCAAACAGGAUUAGAUACCCCAGUAGUC
rnacentral:rRNA from 1 species